rnacentral:rRNA from 1 species
UACGGAGGGUGCAAGCAUUAAUCGGAUUUAUUGGGCGUAAAGGACGCGUAGGCGGUGAGAUAAGUCUGGUGUGAAAUCCCGGGGCUCAACUCCGGAACUGCACUAGAAACUGUCUGACUAGAGGGUAGGCGGAGAAAACGGAAUUCCACAAGUAGCGGUGAAAUGCGUAGAUAUGUGGAAGAACACCUGUGGCGAAAGCGGUUUUCUAGCUUAUUCCUGACGCUGAGGCGUGAAAGCAAGGGGAGCAAACAGG